rnacentral:piRNA from 1 species
UGAUGUGCACACCUACGAAUGCUUAUCC